rnacentral:lncRNA from 1 species
GAGUAUUUCGAUAUAUCCAGGUAUCUUGGAUUUCAAAAUAAGAUUACUACUGAUUCUGCAUUAGUGCGUUUGGUUUGAUACAGUAAUGUAAUGCUGGAUUGCAGUGUUUAUAGCAUUACUAUGUUUGGUUCUAUCUAUAAAAUUUAGUAAUCUAGACAAUAAAAUAUAGUUUAUUCCAAAAUUGCGCUUAGCCAUAUUUCGUAAACUUUUUUUUUAUUGCUUAUAAAUAAUAUUUUUUACCAAAUUUUAUUUUAAAUAAUUUAAUAUAUUAAAUUUUAAAUUUUAAAUUUGAACAAAAAUAUAAUUUAAUAUUUAAUUUAAAAUAUAAAUAUAAAUUUAAAUUUAAAAUCUAAAAUUUAANNNNNNNNNNNNNNNNNNNNNNNNUAUAUAUAUAUAAAAUUUAAAAUUUAAAUCUAAAUUUAAAAUUCAGAAUUUAAAAUACAAAUUUGUAUUUUAAAAUUUAAAAUUUAAAAUUAAAAUCUGAAAAAUUUGAAAUUUGAAAUUUGAAAUUUAAAAUUUAAAACUUAUAAUUUAAAAUCUAAAAUUUAAAAUUUAAAUUUUAAAUAUAAAAUAUAAAAUUUAAAUUUGAAGUUUAAAAAUUAAAAAUUAAAAAAAUUAAAAAUUUAAAUUUGAAAAUUAAAAAUUAAAAUUCAAUGUUUAAAAUUUAAAAGUUAACAAUCCAAAAUUUUAAAUUAAUUUGUUUAUAUUAACGUAUUGAAAGGGUUUUGGAAGUCAGAGGGGUAAAAUUGUCAUUUUACAUAAUAUGCAGUAUUAUUGGCUUUCAGUAAU